GUUGGGAUACGUGCCAUGUGGCUUCUGGAACUGCUUUCAGAACUCCUCUGCUGGAAACUGAAGGGGCUGAUGACUAACGGUUGGCAGCCAGAUUCUCUUCUGCACCACCCUGCGCAGGAACUUCUGGUUUCUCCUGGCUGAUAACUCAUUUCCGCAUGCACACACGUCCCCUGCGUGCGCACACCACCAGCCAGACCUGCUUGGACUUCUAGUUCAGCACUGCCGUCUUCAUCUCACACAACUCCCUGGGAAGCCUUCUCCAGUGGACUAUUCUGGAGAGAUAUUUAACUAGCACAGAAUCAAGAGAAAGUACUGAAAGAAACGCCAGGUCAAGUAGUGCAACAAAGAAAUAUUAUCUCUGUACAUAAAAGAGAUUCUGAAUCUGCUGAUGCCUGAAGAGCUGAAUUCAGUAAAAAAAAAAGUAAAGAAAAAUUGGGAAAAUAGUAAUACAUAGUGAUUUUUCUAAAGAAUAACUAGGAAGAUUAAAGGAAGUACUUUGAAAAUAUGAAAAUACAUAAAUUACAUAGGGAAGGGUAACAUUUUUCUUAGCACAUGAGCAAUAUUAUAUAACGCCAAAGCUACUGACAUAAUUUAAAUUAUUUCUGAAAUGUCCAAGGUGAUCAAGGAAGCUUAAUAUACUGGAAUACUGAAAAAAAUAGAAGCAGACUGUUAAAUAAACUUUGCAAUGUACAUAUACA
ensembl:lncRNA